UCAUAGCUCAGCUGGAUAGAGCAACGGACUUCUAAUCCGUAGGUCGUAGGUUCGAAUCCUACUGG
rnacentral:tRNA from 1 species